CCCUUAGACGUUCUGGGCCGCACGCGCGCUACACUGACCAGUGCAACAAGCAUCCGUCCUUGGCCGAGAGGCCUGGGCAAUCUUUGAAUAUGCAUCGUGAUGGGGAUAGACGAUUGCAAUUAUUCGUCUUCAACGAGGAAUUCCUAGUAAACGCAAGUCAUCAGCUUGCAUUGAUUACGUCCCUGCCCUUUGUACACACCGCCCGUCGCACCUACCGAUUGAAUGGUCCGGUGAAGGCUUCGGAGGCGGCUUUCUCAAUGUUUAUUCGGCGAGACUGCUGCCAAAGUUGAAUGAACCUUACCAUUUAGAGGAAGGUGAANUCGUAACA
rnacentral:rRNA from 1 species